rnacentral:rRNA from 1 species
GACGUAGGGCGCGAGCGUUGUCCGGAUUUAUUGGGCGUAAAGAGCUCGUAGGCGGCUUGUUGCGUCGACUGUGAAAACCCGCGGCUUAACUGCGGGCUUGCAGUUGAUACGGGCAGGCUAGAGUUCGGUAGGGGAGACUGGAAUUCCUGGUGUAGCGGUGGAAUGCGCAGAUAUCAGGAGGAACACCGGUGGCGAAGGCGGGUCUCUGGGCCGAUACUGACGCUGAGGAGCGAAAGCGUGGGGAGCGAACAGG